rnacentral:rRNA from 1 species
UACGUAGGGUGCAAGCGUUAAUCGGAAUUACUGGGCGUAAAGCGUGCGCAGGCGGUUUUGUAAGUCUGACGUGAAAUCCCCGGGCUCAACCUGGGAAUUGCGUUGGAGACUGCAAGGCUAGAAUCUGGCAGAGGGGGGUAGAAUUCCACGUGUAGCAGUGAAAUGCGUAGAGAUGUGGAGGAACACCGAUGGCGAAGGCAGCCCCCUGGGUCAAGAUUGACGCUCAUGCACGAAAGCGCGGGGCGCAAACAGG